AUCCGUCACAUCGGGGGGUUAUCUCACUUUAGUGAGAUUGAGUUGAGUCACUUUUUAUUUUAUCGCUUUUAUUUAUUUUACUUGUCUUGCUUUAUUUUAUUUAAUUUCUGUCUCGCUUUACUUUAUUUAAUUUCUGUCCACGCUUUACUUUAUUUAAUUUCUGUCUACGCUUUACUUUAUUUAAUUUCUAUCCACGCUUUACUCAUUCUUUACGCCUUACAUUCUAAAACAACUUUUCAUCAUGAUCAAUAUUGUUGUGUUUGUUGGUAUUACCAUGUCUGACUAAAUCUUUUAAAGGUUAGAAUGUAAGGAUCCCGGUUAAAGAGAUGUUUCACAUAUUGAAUCUGUAGAAAUACUUUAAAGGUUGUUUUGAUUUUUAACUUGAGUUUUCUGAAACAAACUUGGUUAGUUUUAACUAUUCAAGGAGUGCGAAAGCACCCUGACUUAGUUAACUAGCAAUAUUUAUCACUUUAAGAAAAAACGAUUUUUGAAAUUGUUUUCGGACACGUUGAUAGCUUUAAAAUCAGGAAACUCCUUCGGUAAAACUUUCCAAAUCAAAAUCACUUUUCAAUAAGUUUACGAGUCUUAUUUCUUAAAAAUAAGUUUACUAUUUUAGCGUUCUGCACACCUUUUAUAAGUGACAAUAAACGACCUUAAUUUAAGGGUAAACUCGAAUCUGAAUACGCGAAAGCCACAAUAGAAAGUAUUGUCUCAUAAGUAGUCCUAUUUAGACAAUCGAAACAUCAUUUAUCCGACGUGAUAUACAUUCAAACCUGUCUUUAUCUGCAUUGCAUUUAUUAUUUACCGUUAUUUUCCAACAUCAAGAUCUUUUUUGUACCGCCUUAGAUAAACAUCGUAACAAUAGUAAUCGAUAGAUUGACGAUUUGGUCUCUGUGGGAUCAAUAUUCUUUUAUAUUACUCUGACGCGAUUCGUGCACUUGCGAAUAUAGCGCUCUUUCCUGGGUUUGAUGAUUUAUCAACUCGAUUACUUAAGUGUGUCUUUCUUGGUUGUUACCUUGUUCGAGUUUGUUUCAUAUUUCGAGUCCAAUCACGUAACUACGGAACCCCUUCAAGAAAUUACUCCCACACCUCUUCUGAAUGUUAUUAAUGUCUAGUCUAUCAUUAUUCUCAAUCAGUCCAAGGAGCCUGAUCCACUAAAUAUCACUUCGGUUGACCCUCCUACUUCUCGACCACUACAAACAUAUCACCAUCAUCACUCAAAAUCUCUCAUACCUGUACCCGAGGUCAUUGCAGACUCUCCUUUAAGGUUGUCCAAUCAACCGAUCUGAUCCUGCAACCUGAGCUAGAUUUUCCGAUUGCCUUGUGAAAAGGUAUACAUCAAACACGAAAUCCCUCUCCACAUUAUACUAAUGUAUGUUAGCAUCAUUUUCCCCUUUACGUUAUACUUAUGUCUUCUUUGUCUUCUAUUUUUAUUCUUAACACUCCAAGUGAAGCAUUAUCUCACCCUUGAGUGGAGGCAAUCAAUGAUUGACGAGAUGUGUUCUCUCCAAACAAUGGUACCUGGGAGUCAUCGACUAUGGUUUGUAGGUUAUAUGCACCAACCACAUGGGUUUGUUGCUCAAAGGGAGUCAUCGACUAUGGUUUGUAGGCUGCACAUGUGUCUUUAUGGUGUUAAGCAAUCUCCAAGAGUUUGGUUUGAUAGAUUCAGUACUUUAAUAUAACAGUUUGGUAUAGUCCGUAGUGAAGCCGACCAUUCUAGUUUUUUUUUAUCAUCACUCAUCCCAAUAGUGAAUUACUCUUGCUGUGUAUGUAGAUGACAUUUUCAUAAUUUUUAGUCAUCAAUAGGGAAUAUUCCAAUUGAAAUAACAUCUAUCGAAUAAAUUUCAGACGAAAGACCUUGGUAAACUCCUAUAUUUUUUGGGUAUUGAGGUAGUCCAAUCUAAAGAUGAUAUGGUAAUUUCUCCGGAGAAAUAUGCUAUGGAUACUUUUGAAGAAACAAGUUUGUAGAAUGCUAAACCAGUUAAUACUCUUAUGGAUCCAAGUGUUAAAAUUCUACCAAAUUAGGGGGAGCUUCUAUAUGACUUAAAGAUGUAUAAGAUAUUAAUCGGAAAGUUAAAUUAUCUCACAGUGACUGUCCCAACAUUUCUUUUCUAGUUAGUGUGGUAAACUAGUUCUUAAAUUCUCCUUUCUAAGAACACAUGAACGCUAUUUUUUGGAUUCUGAGAUACAUCAAAGGGAAUAUUCCAGUUGAAAUAACAUCUAUCGAAUAAAUUUCAGACGAAAGAUCUUGGUAAACUCCUAUAUUUUUUGGGUAUUGAGGUAGUCAAAUCUAAAGAUGAUAUGGUAAUUUCUCCGGGGAAAUAUGCCAUGGAUACUUUUGAAGAAACAAGUUUGUAGAAUGCUAAACCAGUUAAUACUCUUAUGGAUCCAAGUGUUAAAAUUCUACCUAAUCAGGGGGAGCUUCUAUAUGAAUUAAGGAUGUAUAGGAUAUUAGUUGAAAAGUUAAAUUAUCUCACAGUCACACAUCCCAACAUUUCUUUUUCAAUUAGUAUGGUGAAGUAGUUCUUAAAUUCUCCUUUCUAAGAACACAUGAGCGCUAUUUUUUGGAUUCUGAGAUACAUUAAAGGUUCUCUAGGAAAAUGUGUCAUUUAUGAAAAUAAAGGACAUACUCAGAUAGUUGGAUAUCCUAACGCUGAUUGAAAAAACUCACCCAUUGUUAGACGAUUUAUCUCUGAGUAUUGUUUAUUUGUUGAAGGAAACCUAAUAUCCUAUAAAAGUAAGAAACAGAAUGUAGUUGCAAGAUCAAGUGCUGAGGUAGAAUAUAAGGUUAUGACACUAGUAACAUGUGAGGUCGUUUGGUUGAAUCAACUGCUCAAAGAACUUCAAUUUGAAAAAAUAAGACCAUGACACUUAUUUGUGAUAAUCAAAUUCCAUUACGUAUUGUUUCGAAUCCAGGUUUCAUGAGAGGACCAAACAUUGUCAGAGAGAAGAUAGAAUCAAACGACAUUGUCACAAGUUUUGUCAACUCUAAUGAUCAAUUGGCAUGUGUUUACAAAAUCCCUACGAGAUCCUAAAACUAAUUAUAUAUGUGGUAAGCUUAGUGCAUUUAACUCAUAUGUUUAAAUUUGAGGGGGAGUGUUAAUAUUUGUAUAGAAAAUAUUCCAUUGAAUAUUUUUUAACCUAUCUAGAAUAUAAUAGAAUAUACCAUUGCAUAUUCCUUAUGUAUUUAAUAUAAUAUACCGUAUAAUACAAUCUUCGUAAUCUUAUUCAGACAUAUUGUAUAUUCAAAUGUCCCUCAAUCUCAUAUUUCAACAAUUUGACUAUGAAAUUGUGAAGUUGUCAUGAUUUGUUGGAGGAUAUCUAAGGACGGUAUGUACGCUCUUGUCAUGAAUAGAUCAAAAUGAGUGUUGAGGUCAUCACAGGGAGAGCCAGCCGUUGAGGUUACAAAUGAAGGAGUUGAUGCUGCAGGGCAUACAAUUGGUACAUCUUUGGAGGUCGUGUUCAAACUUAGGAAGGUUCUCAACCCCAAGAGUGUGAUCAAACCAACAUCACUAGCUAAAGAUUAUUUUGAAUCCAUAACUAACUUGAUCGUCCGAUACUUUGUAGGUACCACACCUUUGCUAUGACCAUGUCAGUCUUGAGGUCUUUAGAGGUAAUGUUCUUCUGUUUGCCUCUUUUAAUUUGGUUUGAUUUGUUUGUGCUCAACAAAUUAUUCAGGUUCAUUCGUUGAUUUCAUUUAUUAAUGUACAAGUUUUAUAAAAUCGUGAAGCCUUUUCUUGACUUGAACAUUUUCUCAGAUAUUAUUCAGGUCUUUUUUGAACUAUGCAAUGAUUAAAUGAACUUAUUCUUUGUCUAAAUUCAAUAUUUCUUCCAUAUUAAAUUUGGCUGCCUUAGUUCACUUGUUCAGUUUAUUUUUCCUGAAUUUAUAGUAAUUGGUGACCGGUUCCAUGAGAAUUGAAAGUGAUGCAGGGAGCCUUUGAUUUGGAAGUAUAAUUCGGUCUGCAUCCCAGCUAUUUUUCAUAUAGAGUUUCAUGCAUUUCUUUAAAUUAUAUCACAUAAAUUUGUUAAUUGAUUUGUAGUACCUACACCUCCGAUCAAAGGUGUGUCCAAUGUCAGGCAUGUGUUGGUUCCUGACACUGACACAUCCACAUUCAAUUGAUUAAUUUUUUCAAAUUAUUAUUGGU